rnacentral:lncRNA from 1 species
GGUCCUCUGAGCUUGAUCGUGUUUGGCAUCUCAUGAGUGGAACUUCACAGCCCUGCAAUUGACACCAUGUUAAGUACAGUGGGGGCUGUUUAAUUUCCUAGUGCCUGAUUUUCAGAAAUGCUGAGUUUGGAAUCCGUUGAAACUGGAGGCUCAGCACCUUGGGUGGAGGGGUGGGAGAGAAGAAAAGUCAGACCCCUGAUUGUUUGGGGUGAGCCACCUUCUUGUAGAAAUCCCCAGGAUCACUGACCACACCACUGCAGUUGAGGUUGUUAGGGGUGGAGAGACUGAUCACAGAAAUAACCGCAUAUAUCUGGGCNNNNNNNNNNCUAACUGGUGUCUCAGCUCAAAGGCAUCUCUAUCUCCGGCUGAAAAUCAGGGUUGAACAAAGGAGCAGUCUGAGAAAGGCACAGUCAAGAUGUUUGAAAAACUCCAGAAUAUGUAGUUCAGAACCGUCGCAUUCUUCAGUGCAAGGGGAGCAGGAAUAGAAGAUCUCCGUGUGAAGUGGAUUUCUGAAGUGGCUCCAGACCGUGGUGAAAGGAUGGCUGGGCCCCAUCUGCCCCCCUUCACUGCCGCCCUGGGACUGGCAUUGCUUGGUGUCCUGGUCUUCCUCUCAGCCCUGUGUGCUGCCUGCAGAAGGAAAGCUAGGAAGAAGGUGGUCCCACCGGAUGGGGUGAAGCUGGUAGAUGUGUCGUUGCUGAGGCAGAUGCAGCUCCGAUCGCUCAGUAAAUCUGACACCAAACUGCAUGAGCUCAACAGGGUGAAGCGCACGGACGAGCACCAAAGACCAGCCAGCGUGGAUUUCCUUUACCCAUCAGGGUCUUUGGGGGAUGGAGAAGGAGCCGUGCAUAGCUCGAGCUUCAGCAUCCUGCUGCACCGAGAGCUGCCCCAGAUCCCCAAUUCCAACCCUUCGGCUGACGCCCUGAGUCCUGACCAGACCUACUCAAACGUGUCCUUCUUAGCCCCGCUGAAACCAGCCCCGGAGGCGCUGUACGAGUGUGCGGCCGUGACUCAGGAAGGGCCUCAACCGAUGCCCAUCUUGGGAACCCCAAUGGAGGCUUCCCCUCUAAGCGAGGAGGACAAGGCAGUGACGGCUGAGUAUGCCUGUGUCCGCAAGGUGAAGAAGAAUUUCCAGCCAGAGCUCCAGGAUGAGACACAGGGCGAAUCCUCCGUGGGGCCUGCAGACCCAGAAGGCUGGGAAGGAGCUGCCUGUAACCCCGCAGCGGUGAAGCUUUCUGGCUCCAGCGUCCGCCGGGGUUUCCUGGACUGUUGCUGGCUGGUCCGUGGCAGCAUCUCCAGCCGGCCCUGGCGAAGAUUGUGCAUUUACAGGGACCAGAAGGCAAAGGAGCAUUAA